GGUGUCGGCUGAAUCAGAGAUUGGCUGACACAAGUUAAAAACAAUUUUGUAUUAGGAAUGAGUUAUGUCUCUGAAUGCAGAAACUAAAGCAGCAAUCGUUGCUGAAUACGCGCAGUGCGAA
rfam:Photobacterium aphoticum strain DSM 25995 contig0020, whole genome shotgun sequence.